rnacentral:rRNA from 1 species
UACGGGGGGGGCAAGCGUUGUUCGGAAUUACUGGGCGUAAAGGGCUCGUAGGUGGCCAACUAAGUCGGACGUGAAAUCCCUCAGCUCAACUGUGGGCUUGCAGCCGAUACGGGCGGGCUGGGAUUCGGUAGGGGAGACUGGAAUUCCUGGUGUAGCGGUGAAAUGCGCAGAUAUCAGGAGGAACACCGGUGGCGAAGGCGGGUCUCUGGGACAUUCCUGACACUGAGGUUCGAAAGCUCGGGGAGCAAACAGG